rnacentral:rRNA from 1 species
AUUGAACGCUGGCGGCAGGCUUAACACAUGCAAGUCGAGCGGAGAUGAGGUGCUUGCACCUUAUCUUAGCGGCGGACGGGUGAGUAAUGCUUAGGAAUCUGCCUAUUAGUGGGGGACAACAUUCCGAAAGGAAUGCUAAUACCGCAUACGUCCUACGGGGGAAAGCAGGGGAUCUUCGGACCUGGCGCUAAUAGAUGAGCCUAAGUCGGAUUAGCUAGUUGGUGGGGUAAAGGCCUACCAAGGCGACGAUCUGUAGCGGGUCUGAGAGGAUGCUCCGCCACACUGGGACCGAGACACGGCCCAGACUCCUACGGGAGGCAGCAGUGGGGAAUAUUGGACAAUGGGGGAAACCCUGAUCCAGCCAUGCCGCGUGUGUGAAGAAGGCCUUAUGGUUGUAAAGCACUUUAAGCGAGGAGGAGGCUACUGAGACUAAUACUCUUGGAUAGUGGACGUUACUCGCAGAAUAAGCACCGGCUAACUCUGUGCCAGCAGCCGCAGUAA